GACGAACGCUGGCGGCGUGCUUAACACAUGCAAGUCGAACGGAAAGGCCCUGCUUUUGUGGGGUGCUCGAGUGGCGAACGGGUGAGUAACACGUGAGUAACCUGCCCUUUACUUUGGGAUAACUUCAGGAAACUGGGGCUAAUACCGGAUAGGAGCUCCUGCUGCAUGGUGGGGGUUGGAAAGUUUCGGCGGUUGGGGAUGGUCUCGCGGCUUAUCAGCUGGUUGGUGGGGGAGUGGCUUACCAAGGCUUUGACGGGUAGGCGGCCUGCGAGGGUGACCGGCGACAUUGGGCCUGAGAUACGGCCCAGACUCCUACGGGAGGCAGCAGUGGAGAAUAUUGCACAAUGGGCGGAAGCCUGAUGCAGCAACGCCGCGUGCGGGAUGACGGCCUUCGGGUUGUAAACCGCUUUCGCCUGUGACGAAGCGUGAGUGACGGUAAUGGGUAAAGAAGCACCGGCUAACUACGUG
rnacentral:rRNA from 1 species